UACGUAGGGGGCAAGCGUUGUCCGGAAUUAUUGGGCGUAAAGCGCGUGUAGGCGGCCAGAAAAGUCCGCUGUGAAAACUCGAGGCUUAACCUCGAGCUGUCGGCGGAGACCAUCUGGCUAGAGUCCGGAAGAGGAGAAUGGAAUUCCCGGUGUAGCGGUGAAAUGCGCAGAUAUCGGGAAGAACACCCGUGGCGAAGGCGGUUCUCUGGGACGGUACUGACGCUGAGACGCGAAAGCGUGGGGAGCGAACAGG
rnacentral:rRNA from 1 species